rnacentral:rRNA from 1 species
ACUCCUACGGGAGGCAGCAGUGAGGAAUAUUGGACAAUGGGCGGGAGCCUGAUCCAGCCAUGCCGCGUGCAGGAAGACUGCCCUAUGGGUUGUAAACUGCUUUUAUACGGGAAGAAACACUCCCUCGUGAGGGAAUUUGACGGUACCGUAAGAAUAAGGAUCGGCUAACUCUGCCAGCAGCCGCGGUAAUACGGAGGAUCCAAGCGUUAUCCGGAAUCAUUGGGUUUAAAGGUCCGUAGGUGGACGAUUAAGUCAGAGGUGAAAUCUUGCAGCUCAACUGUAAAAUUGCCUUUGAUACUGGUUGUCUUGAGUUAUUAUGAAGUGGUUAGAAUAUGUAGUGUAGCGGUGAAAUGCAUAGAUAUUACAUAGAAUACCAAUUGCGAAGGCAGAUCACUAAUAAUAUACUGACACUGAUGGACGAAAGCGUGGGUAGCGAACAGGAUUAGAUACCCUGGUAGGCUCUG